rnacentral:rRNA from 1 species
AAAAAGUCGUAACAAGGUCUCGGUUGGUGACCAGCGGAGGGAUCAUUACUGAGUUAUCCAAAAACUCCCAACCCUAUGUGAACUUACCACUGUUGCCUCGGCGAGCUGCGCUACCCUGUAGCUACUUUUGUAGCGACCUGGGAGCGCGUUAUAGGCUCGCCAGAGGACCACUAAACUCUGUUUUAUUUUGUAUCUCUGAAUCUUACAACUGAAAUCAGUUAAAACUUUCAACAACGGAUCUCUUGGUUCUGGCAUCGAUGAAGAACGCAGCGAAAUGCGAUAAGUAAUGUGAAUUGCAGAAUUCAGUGAAUCAUCGAAUCUUUGAACGCACAUUGCGCCCAUUAGUAUUCUAGUGGGCAUGCCUAUUCGAGCGUCAUUUCAACCCUUAAGCCUCAGUAGCUUAGCGUUGGGAAUCUACAGGUUACAGCGUAGUUCCUUAAAGGUAGUGGCGGAGUUAGAGCACACUCUAAGCGUAGUACUUGUUUCUCGCUUUGGUAGUGGCUUUGGCGGCCGGCCGUGAAACCCCCUAUAUUUCUAAUGGUUGACCUCGGAUUAGGUAGGAAUACCCG